rnacentral:tRNA from 1 species
GAGAGUAUAGCUCAGUGGUAGAGCACAUGCUUAGCAUGCACAAGGUCCUGGGUUCAAUUCCCAGUAUCUCCA